rnacentral:rRNA from 1 species
AACGAACGCUGGCGGCAUGCCUAACACAUGCAAGUCGAACGAGACCUUCGGGUCUAGUGGCGCACGGGUGCGUAACGCGUGGGAACCUGCCCUUAGGUUCGGAAUAACUCCCCGAAAGGGGUGCUAAUACCGGAUAAUGUCUUCGGACCAAGGAUUUAUCGCCUUUGGAUGGGCGCGCGUUGGAUUAGCUGGUUGGUAGGGUAAAAGCGGACCAAGGCGACGAUGCAUAGCUGGUCGGAGAGGAGGAUCAGCUACACUGGGAAUGAGACACGGCCCAGACUCCUACGGGAGGGAGCAGUGGAGAAUAUUGGACAAUGGGCGAAAGCCUGAUCAAGCAACGCCGCGUGAGUGAUGAAGGCCUUAGGGUUGUAAAGCUCUUUUACCCGGGAUGAUAAUGACAGUACCGGGUGAAUAAGCUCCGGCUAACUCCGUG